UACGUAGGGUGCGAGCGUUAAUCGGAAUUACUGGGCGUAAAGCGUGCGCAGGCGGUUUUGUAAGCCAGAUGUGAAAGCCCCGGGCUUAACCUGGGAAUGGCAUUUGGGACUGCAAGGCUAGAGUGCGGUAGGGGAGACUGGAAUUCCUGGUGUAGCGGUGAAAUGCGCAGAUAUCUGGAGGAACACCGGUGGCGAAGGCGGCAUCCUGGACCGACACUGACGCUGAGGCGCGAAAGCUAGGGUAGCAAACGGGG
rnacentral:rRNA from 1 species